AUGCGAGGAAGGAAAGCGCGGAGACACGUGUGCAGAAGGAAAGCGCGGAGACACGUGUGCAGAAGGAAAGCGCGGAGACACGUGGGCAGAAGGAAAGCGCGGAGACACGUGUGCAGAAGGAAAGCGCAGAGACACGUGUGCAGAAGGAAAGCGCGAAGACACGUGUGCAGAAGGAAAGCGCGGAGACACGUGGGCAGAAGGAAAGCGCAGAGACACGUGUGCAGAAGGAAAGCGCGGAGACAUGUGGGCAGAAGGAAAGCGCGGAGACACGUGUGCAGAAGGAAAGUGCGGAGACACGUGUGCAGAAGGAACACGUGUGCAGAAGGAAAGCGCAGAGACAAGUGUGCAGAAGGAAAGCGCGGAGACACGUGUGCAGAAGGAAAGCGCGGAGACACGUGGGCAGAAGGAAAGCGCGGAGACACGUGUGCAGAAAGAAAGCGCGGCGACACGUGUGCAGAAGGAAAGCGCGGAGACACGUGGGCAGAAGGAAAGCGCGGAGACACGUGUGCAGAAGGAAAGCGCGGAGACACGUGGGCAGAAGGAAAGCGCGGAGACACGUGUGCAGAAAGAAAGCGCGGCGACACGUGUGCAGAAGGAAAGCGCGGAGACACGUGGGCAGAAGGAAAGCGCAGAGACACGUGUGCAGAAGGAAAGCGCAGAGACACGUGUGCAGAAGGAAAGCGCGGAGACACGUGUGCAGAAGGAACACGUGUGCAGAAGGAAAGCGCAGAGACACGUGUGCAGAAGGAAAGCGCGGAGACACGUGUGCAGAAGGAAAGCGCGGAGACACGUGUGCAGAAGGAAAGCGCAGAGACACGUGGGCAGAAGGAAAGCGCGGAGACACGUGUGCAGAAGGAAAGCGCGGCGACACGUGUGCAGAAGGAAAGCGCAGAGACACGUGUGCAGAAGGAAAGCGCAGAGACACGUGUGCAGAAGGAAAGCGCAGAGACACGUGUGCAGAAGGAAAGCGCAGAGACACGUGUGCAGAAGGAAAGCGCAGAGACACGUGUGCAGAAGGAAAAGCACCUCUGGUCCAAAACAAGUCAGUGUUCAGAAAGUAAGACGUGCACGGCGGUGCAGGCGGGGGCCGAGGACUUUAAGGAGCAUUUUAAAACCCGAUUAUUCGCAGUUUGA
rnacentral:lncRNA from 1 species